rnacentral:tRNA from 1 species
GCCAAUGUUCUUGGGAACGGUUCGGGCCAAGGUGCUGAUUUUUCUUACAUCAAGCGAGACUUAAAAUCUCUAGGCCGAAAGGCCGUGCCGGUUCGAGUCCGGCCGCGGGCACCA